rnacentral:rRNA from 1 species
GUCACGCCCGAAGUCGUUACCCCAACCUAUUGGAGGGGGAUGCUUAAGGUAGGACUGAUGACUGGGGU